GACGAACGCUGGCGGCGUGCUUAACACAUGCAAGUCGAACGGAAAGGCCCUGCUUUUGUGGGUUGCUCGAGUGGCGAACGGGUGAGUAACACGUGAGUAACCUGCCCUUGACUUUGGGAUAACUUCAGGAAACUGGGGCUAAUACCGGAUAGGAGCUCCUGCUGCAUGGUGGGGGUUGGAAAGUUUCGGCGGUUGGGGAUGGACUCGCGGCUUAUCAGCUUGUUGGUGGGGUAGUGGCUUACCAAGGCUUUGACGGGUAGCCGGCAUGAGAGGGUGACCGGCCACAUUGGGACUGAGAUACGGCCCAGUCUGCUACGGGAGGCAGCAGUGGGGAGUAUUGCACAAUGGGCGGAAGCGUGAUGCAGAAACGCCGCGUGCGGGAUGACGGCCUUCGGGUUGUAAACCGCUUUCGCCUGUGACGAAGCGUGAGUGACGGUAAUGGGUAAAGAAGCACCGGCUAACUACGUG
rnacentral:rRNA from 1 species